rnacentral:rRNA from 1 species
CAGCCGCCGCGGUAAUACGGAUGAUCCAAGCGUUAUCCGGAAUCAUUGGGUUUAAAGGGUCCGUAGGCGGUCUUGUAAGUCAGUGGUGAAAGCCCAUCGCUCAACGGUGGAACGGCCAUUGAUACUGCAGGACUUGAAUUAUUGGGAAGUAACUAGAAUAUGUAGUGUAGCGGUGAAAUGCUUAGAGAUUACAUGGAAUACCAAUUGCGAAGGCAGGUUACUACCAAUUGAUUGACGCUGAUGGACGAAAGCGUGGGUAGCGAACAGGAUUAGAUACCCGUGUAGUCCCUGUCUCUUAUAA